AUGAACGCUGGCGGCGUGCCUAAUACAUGCAAGUCGAGCGAACAGACGAGGAGCUUGCUCCUCUGACGUUAGCGGCGGACGGGUGAGUAACACGUGGAUAACCUACCUAUAAGACUGGGAUAACUUCGGGAAACCGGAGCUAAUACCGGAUAACAUGUUGAACCGCAUGGUUCAACAGUGAAAGACGGUCUUGCUGUCACUUAUAGAUGGAUCCGCGCCGCAUUAGCUAGUUGGUAAGGUAACGGCUUACCAAGGCAACGAUGCGUAGCCGACCUGAGAGGGUGAUCGGCCACACUGGAACUGAGACACGGUCCAGACUCCUACGGGAGGCAGCAGUAGGGAAUCUUCCGCAAUGGGCGAAAGCCUGACGGAGCAACGCCGCGUGAGUGAAGAAGGUCUUCGGAUCGUAAAACUCUGUUAUUAGGGAAGAACAAAUGUGUAAGUGACUAUGCACGUCUUGACGGUACCUAAUCAGAAAGCCACGGCUAACUACGUG
rnacentral:rRNA from 1 species